AGUUUGCUAAAACGAUGGUUUAGACAAGAUUCAAAAAAGGAGGACAUAAAUGAGCAUGGCUGAAAACAACGCCCCAGUUGAUUCUGCUGCCUUACGGGAUGUCAAGACAGGGACAACAAUAGACACACCCGAAACGAAUGUCUCAUUGGAAAAAGAAACGGACGUUAAGCGUGGUCAAGAAUCCAAAUCAGAUGGGUA